AUGUGCUUUGUGAAUGUGCAGGCUUCCGCUCCAGCAAGUCAAGGAACAGUCUUUUCUGAGGAGCAGCAAAUUCUGCAAAAAGCGUUUGUUCAAUUCGCUCCAUAUUUGAUCCAUCUGCCAGCCCUACUCAGCGGAUUAAAGGCACGUCUAUCAUGCGGUGUCUCUGCAAAACUCCAUCCGUCACUCUUUCUCUUCCUCACACUCGUAAGUGUAUUUCUUUCUCUUCAAAUAAAACAGAAGAAUUGAUUCUUUUCCCAUAAUAGCCUGGGUGAAGUGAACUAACUGAAUGGGGGAAAACCCCUAGUUUUUCAGGGACAGGAGAGAACAAUUCCAAGGUAAAGUCAGUUUAAUACAGGCCAAUCACUGUAAAUUGCUGUCAUUGAGUUGCCUGAAUGAAAAGCAUGUAGUAGAAGAACAGAUUCAAGCGUAGCUCGUUCAGAACACAUUGCAGCCAAAAAUACGCUUUGUCUCACAAGGUCAGAUCUGUUCGAGGAUUUCGGAAGAUCAGAACCAUACAUUAGACUUCUUUUGUUCUGCUUGGAUGUCUUUGUGUAAUUCAGGGAUUUUCAAACUGAGGUGAGCUCCUAAUAUCUAACAUUCCACUAAUAUUGGGAAGAAAGAACUUAUGUUCAAAUGAUAAUUUUCAGGUUUUGGCUUUAGUACAAUGACACAUUAAGCCCAAAUAUUUAGUUUCAAAAACAGCAUGUUAUUUUUAAUAUCACACUUACUAUGUCACACUCAAAAUAAAUGCACACAAAAAAAAACACAAAUCAAUUUUAAACACUACAAUUUAUAAUUUAGGUUACAGUUAUGAAAAAAGUAUAAUCAUUUUGAGACUUCCUAAAGAUUACGUUUAACCCUCUGGUGCUCUUCAGUAAUUUUUGACAAAGACAGUUUAUAUUUUGUUGUUGUUGUUUUUUCUUCAUGUUUUACUUUGGUGUGACAUGAUUCGUAAAGGUUAAAUGGGAACGAACGAAAAAUUUUCAAAUUUAUGCUCAAAAAGUGGCCAACAGGACAUAAAUGGUUUAUAACUACUGCAUAAAUAUAAUUUAGUACCAUAACAUUUUUUUAAAUGAAAAUUGUAAAUAAAAAUUAUUAAACUAAAGUACAUUAAUUUAACUGAAAGAAAAACUGUAAUUUUUGAUUGCCACGUGAGGACCACUAGAGGGUUAACAGUGAUAGUAAAUUUUAUUUGUACCAAUUAUUAUUAUUAUUAUUGGUAAUUAGUAUUAGUAGUAAAUUUACUUGCAAUUACAGAACUAUUUUUUUUUUCAGUGUAGGUCUUUAUAAAUGCAGAUUAUACUACAGUCUUUGCUUUCCUUUCAUCGAGAUCAUCAUAUUUGUGCAUCUUUGGCAUCAAAAAAUAAAACCCUCAGGUGUUGGUCAGAGUGACUUAAAUCAUUCAUUUUAAAGAGUUUUCAGACUGAUUUAACAUAAUAUUAUACCUGGCUUUGUCUUUGCCUCCUGUGUGUAUGUGUAUGUUUGGGUUUGUCUCAGCGGUGGGACUCACUAGAUACUCUCUUACCUCCCUGAUGGAGUGGUUACCUGGAUACUGCAUGCAUAAAUAAUUGAGCUUGAGAAAAGACGAGUAAGAGUGUGUGUGUGUGUGUGUUUUGUCUUUGUCCUCCUGUGUGUAUGUGUAUGUUUGGGUUUGGUUCUCAGCGGUGGGACGUCACUAGAUACUCUCUUACCUCCCUCGAUGGAGUGGUUACCUGGAUACUGCAUGCAUAAAUAAUUAGAGCUUGAGAAAGACGAGUAAGAGUGUGUGUGUGUGUGUGUGUGUGUGUGUGUGUGUGUGUGUGUGUGUUUGGCUGCCCAGGCUCAUGUGGAGUUACAAAACACCUGCUUGGCUGGCAGCAAAACAGUCCUUUUUUGCCAUAAAUUAAUAAAGCAAACCAUCAUUGAUUGCACUAAGGUUUUCUUCUCAUAUCUGAUGCGCUCUCUGUAGGAGAAGCCAAUGCUACUU
rnacentral:lncRNA from 1 species